rnacentral:rRNA from 1 species
UACGGGGGGGGCAAGCGUUGUUCGGAAUUACUGGGCGUAAAGGGUUCGUAGGCGGCCAACUAAGUCAGACGUGAAAUCCCUCAGCUUAACUGGGGAACUGCGUCUGAUACUGGUUGGCUUGAGUGCAGGAGAGGAACGCGGAAUUCCAGGUGUAGCGGUGAAAUGCGUAGAUAUCUGGAGGAACACCGGUGGCGAAGGCGGCGUUCUGGACUGCAACUGACACUGAGGAACGAAAGCCAGGGGAGCAAACGGG